UUAGUGAAAGGUCGCUGAAUGCUGCUUUAGAGGGACCUCCCUCUUCCUAGACAAGCAAAAACCAGUGUUUAGAUUCAUUUACGGAGGGCCAUUUACUUCCUGUUGCCCACACAAUCUUAGUUUUACCCUUCCUAUUACUCAGCGAUUUCAUAUAAGCUAAACUGUCAGCAUAUGAGAAACAUCUCUGCCAAUGAGAUUUUUUUUUUUUCUUCAGAAAACCUCGCCAAGUUUAUGAGCCAAGAAAUAGCUGAAUUAUAAUGCCUGGAACUUCAAAGAGAAAGAGGAGUGAAUGAGCUAAAUGCUGAACUCUAAGGAAAGUCUUGGAAGUUUCCAGAAAGCAUGUGGAUUGUGCCACCAGAAGAAAAGGAUGAAAUGUCUGACUUUACAAUAAUCAUGAAUGGGAUCCUGGGCCCAAUUUUCAGUGUUACAGAAAAACACAGCACAACAAAAGAAAAACCAUGAAACUCAUGAGCUGGUUAUGGAAUAUCAUGACUCUUCCCUUACAUCCAGUAAGACCUCUUAAGGGUUCAGUCAUAGCCUUUGCUCAACCCAGUUUAAGUCAUCAGGACCUCCUCUUCCUCCCUUCCUUCCCUCCUUCCUUCCUUGAUUCCUUUCUCUUUCUUUCUUCCUUCCUUCCUUUUCUUUUUUCUUUCUCCUUUCAAGUUUAAUUAUUUAUUGACAUUUUUAUUUUAUUCUUGAGAUUAUAAUUAUUUUUCCACUUCCCUUUCUUUCCUCCAGACUCUCCCACUCUGCCAUGUAUCCCUCCUUGCUCUCUUUCAAAUUCAUGACUUUCUUUUUUUUUCAUUACUUGUCUCAUUACAUGUAUGUAUGCAUAUGUAUAGACAUGUAUAUUCCAAAAUAUAUCCUGCUUAGUCUUU